rnacentral:rRNA from 1 species
GACGAACGCUGGCGGCGUGCCUAACACAUGCAAGUCGAGCGGGAACCUCAGGAGGGGUAACCCUUCUGAGGGGAGAGCGGCGAACGGGUGAGUAACACGUGGGCAACCUGCCCCGGACACCGGGAUAACCCAGGGAACCUNAGCUAAUACCGGAUACUCCGGCGCGAUCGCAUGGUCGUGCCGGGAAAGCUCCGACGGUCCGGGAUGGGCCCGCGGCCUAUCAGCUUGUUGGUGGGGUAACGGCCCACCAAGGCGACGACGGGUAGCUGGUCUGAGAGGACGGCCAGCCACACUGGGACUGAGACACGGCCCAGACUCCUACGGGAGGCAGCAGUGGGGGAGUCUUGCGCUAAUGCGCGAAAGCGUGACGCAGCGACGCCGCGUGGGGAUGAAGGCCUUCGGUUGUAACCC